GGGCCCGUAGCCCAGUUUGGGAGAGCGUCUGGUUCGCAAUCAGAAGGUCAGGGGUUCGAUCCCCCUCGGGUCCA
rnacentral:tRNA from 1 species